rnacentral:lncRNA from 1 species
AAUCACACAACAUCAAUUUAAGAUCGCAUUCUUUUGAAAUGCGAUAUUAAAUCUAGCAACACUGUUCUGAUUUUGUUGCGCACGCGUGCUCGGCCUCAAGCCGCCAUUUUCAGUUUACCGCAACCGAUGGAUGUUGUGUUUUGGAAAAUCAUUGACGGUGUUGAUACAUAUGCAAUGAGCAUUCUUAAAUGACGGAACACAACUGUUGCUGUCCGAAAUCAGCCUAUCAGCGGCCUAAAGAACGCCGUCAAGAGUGAAUCCUUGAAAAUAUGGAGAAAGCUCGUCGGAUCGAGUGAAACCAAAAGGAAUCGAGUGCGAAAAAAAGCGACCACCCAGCGCUCCACGCUAAAGAAUCGUUAUCGAUUCCUCCAAACUACAUGUCAACCCAAUGCGUUGGCAGCAUCUACGUCUUGCUUGCUCAGCGAUGGAUCAAAGAACGUAUUCCGGUAGCAGUUCGGUGUACCUGUUUCCUCAAGCUGUAACAAAUUUCCAACCGGAAGAAUCAACAAUAAAAGGGGAUGUUGCGCUGGAAGCUACAUCAUCCUCAUCUACAAAACUUCCGCCACAGCAACGUUUCGUCAACAGACAGCGUGGACCUCAACCUGGUAAAUAUAAACCAUUGGAUGAAGGCUACGAUUCCAUCGCACAUGGCAAAAAACGAACCAUUCCUGGCUGGUCCACCGAAGGCACACGGGUGACCAUGAUUUCGCUCUACAUGGGAUGUAGCGGAGACACCAGCUGCUCCGCUGUUU